GCAAUUUAUUUUUCACCAGAGCCUGGGGCCAAGCACAAAGCAGCUUCCCAGUAAAUACAAAGAGUUCAACUCCACUGAUCGAGAAGACUCAGGGCCUCAUGGCCUUGCUUUACACCCCGCCCCUCUGACUGCAGGGGGCUUGUGUCUUCUGGUGUCUUUGACUCAGUGGGGCAUGAAGCACAGAGCUCAAGGCUGGUGGGGGCCCCUCUGCAGGCAGGAUGUAGGGCAGCUUCAUGAGGCUGGGUUCCUGGGCGGCUUUGUCUCCAGAUCUCCAUCCCUGAGGUACACAGGUGAGGCAUGGCAGGCUACCGUGUGGGCCCAAAGUCUCCCAGCCCUUGGCUGCUCCCUCUCCUCACUUGCAGAGGCUGGGCGAUGCCAGGUGCCAUCGCUGCUUGCAGUUGCCCCUGCAGCCCGUGAGCUGGCAGAAGGCUGGCUCUGUCAAAAUUAGCCCCAAAGGUAGAAGUACAAGAAACAAAUGGCCAGAAAGAAGAGGAAUAGCUGCUCAGUGCUCACGGAGAAUCCCGUCUGCCUUCAGCUGAGUAGCUGUGUCCUAUAGCCCCUGGGUGCUGGGGCUGAGUAGGCUCCUCUUGCCCUACACCUGUUCUGCUUCCUCAGGUAGGUCUCCAGCUUGAGGCCACUCAGCUGCUAGGCACCUUUCCAUUCCCCAGGAAAUGCUGGAAGUAGGUCUGUAGACAAAGAGACCUGCCCCUGUUGCUCAGCCUCCUCUGGUGGCAUUGUGAUGCUGGCCUGACUGCCAUUAUGAUGGCCGCUGGGUGGGGGUGGGGCUGCUUCGGGCAGGGCCCCUCACGCAGAACUCUCAUGGGCAUCAUGAACCAGCUCCCUCCCUAGGCCUGCUGUUACCUGGCCCAGUCUCCCAGCCAGCAUCUUCCCUCCAUUCUGGGCAGGGGAGGGUCUAGGCUGGGAAUUGGCCAAAGCUGUGCUGUCCAGUGUAGUGGCUUCUAGCCACAUGUGGUUCUUGACUUAAAAGCAAAUAUAAUGUAAGACUCAGUUCCUAGUCCUGCCAGCCACAUUUCUACAGUAGUCACAUGUGGGUGUGUGUUGACUACGCAGACAAUGACCAGUUCCACCACAGGAAGUUCCACUGGCCAGUGCUAGAUCAAAUAGGAACUUGGUGAGACUGUCCCUGGGAGCCCUUUACCACUAUGAACCUGUCCAUGGGACAGGAGAGAAGGCUCUACUUGGAAAGAGCAGCAUAGUGUGUGGGGUUUUCUUGGGGGUGAGGUAGAUGAGCUUGAACCUCAUUCCCCCUGCACCAGGCACUGCCUUGGGUGGCACCCCCUGACCUACACUCCCUUCCAUACCAAGAGCUGCCAAGAGUGACCCUGCCACUCUUGAUGACCCAAAGGAUGACACAGUUUCCCCACUGGCGCAGAGAUAAGAAGAUGAAGGAGGAACAAAGCCUUGGGGUGGUGGGAUUCCAGUCCAAGCAUCCUCUGGAAAGAUGUGUAAAGAAUUCCUGCCUCUGGGUGUGGUGACACACCUGUAGCCCCUGGGGGGCUAAGGAAGGAGGAUCACUUGAGACCAGAAAUUUGAAGCCAAACCCAAGGAACAGACAAAACAGGCAGAGACCCUGUCUUUAAAGAAAAAAGAAAAGAAAAAAAAGAAAGAAUUCCUGCCCUACCAGCAAGUAGGUUGGGCUGCCAGGGCUGGUCCUUGUAGGACCCAGGAGCCAUCAGCCUGCACGGAGGGGCCAGCUGUAUCCAGCCUGUGGACCCAAGAACAAAUGACUUACACAUAUGUGAUUUUCAUGUGUUAUCCAGGAGGUCAUGGAGACUUGGAAGGCCAAGCAUAUUAAAAAUGCUUGCAUUUAAAAGCUGGGUGUGGUAGUGUAAUCCUAGCACUUGGCUGAAGCAGGAGGAUUGCUGUGAGUUCAAGGCCAGCCUGAACUACUAUAGCAAGACCCCAUCUCAAAAAAAUAAAGUUUGCAUUCAAACUUUUUUUUUUUUUUGGUACCGGGGAUCAGUCUUGGGUCAUUGUGCUUGGCGCAGCAGGUGAGUAAACCACUGAGCUAAAUCCCCAGCCCUGCAUUCAAACUUUUAAAAGGGACUGGGGUGUAGCUCAGUGUCAGAGUGCUUGCUUAACCAUGCAUGAAGAUCUGGAUUCAAUUCCCAGUACCUCAACAACAACAAAAACUAAAAACAGAAGGAGAAGAGAAGGAGAAUGAGAGGAAAAGUUCCUACAUGUUGAGCACAAUCCACAUAACUGGGGUUAGAAGGAAACUGAAACUCAUUAAGUGAGGAGCUGAUGUGACUGGCUGCAUUCUGUAGUUGGAGCCCACUGGCCAAAGAACCUGGGGAACCUUUUCACUUGAGUCCAGAUCCACCACACAGAAUGGGAAGCACAGCAGUCUCUGAGUGGAGCACCAACCUCAUGACCAAGUGGCCUUGGAAAACUCACUAUUAUUAUACCUCGGCACAAAAAGCAGACACUUCUCUAAAUAAAGGCUCUCAGAGCUGCCUUCGCAGGAGGGUGCAGCUCCUGGCUCCUUGAUCAAUUAGAACAGGAAAGUAGCCCUCAGGUGCAGCUUCUGGAAGAGAAAGGAAGGCCUUUCUGCUGCAGGGGGCCGGGGAGUGCAGGGAACAGGAUCCUGCGAGGUGUGUGAUGCAUGUGACUGAAGGAGAUCAAGUCUGAAGCAAACUGGGAGAUUGGGAAGCUGUGUGGGGGUCAGUACCAAAUAUGCUCAGAGUGAUCCAGGCAGAGUGGGAAGGCACAAGGGACAGUCCCAGGAAGACAUCAAGUAUUGGAAGGGUGGCUGGGACCACUGAAACCCCUCUCAACUGGUGGAGAGGAUUGGGCUUGAAAAUGGGAGGAACAGACCUGGGUGUGGCUGCAUAUACCUGUGAGGCUGAAGCAGGAGGAUUCCAAAUUCAAGGCCAGCUCAGGCACAUAGCAAGAC
ensembl:lncRNA